rnacentral:lncRNA from 1 species
UUUAUAGCUUCUUUCUUUAUUUCAUGAAAAUUUAUUUAUAAUCUUACACAUCCUUUAAGUAGAUAAGCUCACAAAGUGCACAUACAUGCACCUUUUCAAUUUAUUUUCUAUAUUUAGUGCAUGCAUAUAUAUAUAUAUAUAUAUAUAUAUAUACACACAGGUAAGACAUCGACCCCAAGGCUGCAUGCAGUUCAUGGGCAAAAGACAACCUUGUAAUUGGUUCCACCUUUGCAAGAGAAUGUACUUGUCGCAUCAUCCUUUGGGUAACUAUAAGCAUCUGGGCACUUAUUCUUGAAAUAUUGAGAAUAAUU